CAGUUAUUCAUCAUCAACUAUAACAUCUUCCACAGCAACAUCAACAGUUACAGACAGACACUAGCAGUCAUUCACCAUCAACUGUCAUAUUAUUUAUACCAGUCAGUGUCUGAGAGGUCAUAUUAUUUAUACCAGUCAGUGUCUGAGAGGUCAUAUUAUUUAUACCAGUCAGUGUCUGAGAGGUCAUAUUAUUUAUACCAGUCAGUGUCUGAGAGGUCAUAUUAUUUAUACCAGUCAGUGUCUGAGAGGUCAUAUUAUUUAUACCAGUCAGUGUCUGAGAGGUCAUAUUAUUUAUACCAGUCAGUGUCUGAGAGGUCAUAUUAUUUAUACCAGUCAGUGUCUGAGAGGUCAUAUUAUUCAUACCAGUCAGUGUCUGAGAGGUCAUAUUAUUCAUACCAGUCAGUGUCUGAGAGGUCAUUUUAUUUAUACCAGUCAGUGUCUGAGAGGUCAUAUUAUUUAUACCAGUCAGUGUCUGAGAGGUCAUAUUAUUUAUACCAGUCAGUGUCUGAGAGGUCAUAUUAUUUAUACCAGUCAGUGUCUGAGAGGUCAUAUUAUUUAUACCAGUCAGUGUCUGAGAGGUCAUAUUAUUUAUACCAGUCAGUGUCUGAGAGGUCAUAUUAUUUAUACCAGUCAGUGUCUGAGAGGUCAUAUUAUUUAUACCAGUCAGUGUCUGAGAGGUCAUAUUAUUUAUACCAGUCAGUGUCUGAGAGGUCAUAUUAUUUAUACCAGUCAGUGUCUGAGAGGUCAUAUUAUUUAUACCAGUCAGUGUCUGAGAGGUCAUAUUAUUUAUAUCAGUCAGUGUCUGAGAGGUCAUAUUAUUUAUACCAGUCAGUGUCUGAGAGGUCAUAUUAUUCAUACCAGUCAGUGUCUGAGAGGUCAUAUUAUUCAUACCAGUCAGUGUCUGAGAGGUCAUAUUAUUUAUACCAGUCAGUGUCUGAGAGGUCAUAUUAUUUAUACCAGUCAGUGUCUGAGAGGUCAUAUUAUUUAUACCAGUCAGUGUCUGAGAGGUCAUAUUAUUUAUACCAGUCAGUGUCUGAGAGGUCAUAUUAUUUAUACCAGUCAGUGUCUGAGAGGUCAUAUUAUUUAUACCAGUCAGUGUCUGAGAGGUCAUAUUAUUUAUAUCAGUCAGUGUCUGAGAGGUCAUAUUAUUUAUACCAGUCAGUGAGAGGUCAUUAUUUAUACCAGUCAGUGAGAGGUCAUAUUAUUUAUACCAGUCAGUGAGAGGUCAUAUUAUUUAUACCAGUCAGUGAGAUCAUAUUAUUUAUACCAGUCAGUGUCUGAGAGGUCAUUAUUUAUACCAGUCAGAGAGAGGUCAUAGUAUUCAUACCAGUCAGAGAGAGGUCAUAUUAUUUAUACCAGUCAGUGAGAGGUCAUAUUAUUUAUACCAGUCAGUGAGAGGUCAUAUUAUUUAUACCAGUCAGUGAGAGGUCAUAUUAUUUAUACCAGUCAGUGUCUGAGAGGUCAUAUUAUUUAUACCAGUCAGUGUCUGAGAGGUCAUAUUAUUUAUACCAGUCAGUGUCUGAGAGGUCAUAUUAUUUAUACCAGUCAGAGAGGUCAUAUUAUUUAUACCAGUCAGUGAGAGGUCAUAUUAUUCAUACCAGUCAGUGAGAGGUCAUAUUAUUUAUACCAGUCAGAGAGAGGUCAUAUUAUUUAUACCAGUCAGUGAGACGUCAUAUUAUUUAUACCAGUCAGAGAGAGGUCAUAUUAUUUAUACCAGUCAGUGACUGAGAGGUCAUAUUAUUUAUACCAGUCAGUGACUGAGAGGUCAUAUUAUUUAUACCAGUCAGUGACUGAGAGGUCAUAUUAUUUAUACCAGUCAGUGAGAGGUCAUAUUAUUUAUACCAGUCAGUGUCUGAGAGGUCAUAUUAUUUAUACCAGUCAGUGACUGAGAGGUCAUAUUAUUUAUACCAGUCAGUGUCUGAGAGGUCAUAUUAUUUAUACCAGUCAGUGAGAGGUCAUAUUAUUUAUACCAGUCAGUGAGAGGUCAUAUUAUUUAUACCAGUCAGUGAGACGUCAUAUUAUUUAUACCAGUCAGUGUCUGAGAGGUCAUAUUAUUUAUACCAGUCAGUGUCUGAGAGGUCAUAUUAUUUAUACCAGUCAGUGAGAGGUCAUAUUAUUUAUACCAGUCAGUGUCUGAGAGGUCAUAUUAUUUAUACCAGUCAGUGAGAGGUCAUAUUAUUUAUACCAGUCAGUGAGAGGUCAUAUUAUUUAUACCAGUCAGAGAGGUCAUAUUAUUUAUACCAGUCAGUGAGAGGUCAUAUUAUUUAUACCAGUCAGUGUCUGAGAGGUCAUAUUAUUUAUACCAGUCAGUGUCUGAGAGGUCAUAUUAUUUAUACCAGUCAGUGUCUGAGAGAUCAUAUUAUUUAUACCAGUCAGAGAGAGGUCAUAUUAUUUAUACCAGUAAGAGAGAGGUCAUAUUAUUUAUACCAGUCAGUGUCUGAGAGAAUGGAUGUAGACUAGACUGUGUGCUCAGCACGGCUCUAAGAUGAAGUAGCCUAUCAGGUGGAGAUAUAUACAGUGGUAUGCUACUCUACAAGGACAGUCUCCUAUCAGUGCCAGAGUUUGACCAACCCUCACCAUGAGCAUUUAUUCAUCCCCCGCCACCCCUUCUCAUAUCACUAUGGUAACCCUGGGGUCCAUCCCACCACUAGACCUUGGUUUCCCACCCCCCCUGUUGGGAACCAACCAAACAUUCACCCAAUAUGUAAUAUUCAAGUAAACGUAUGCUUUUUGUUCAACAGUCGGUACACUGCAAGUUUCACUGUGUAAACGGUGUCUGGUUGCCUAACAAGGACAUGGGUGCCAGGCUGAAACCGUUGUUCACUUGUGAGAUGACUAUCCUUCAGGGCCUAGCUCGCUGGUUCAAAGGUUACUCUAGGCCAGCGCUUCUCAUUUAGUUAGUUAUCAGUUUGUUUGCAUUACCAGCUCGUCACAAAUUCUUUGUGAGGGAAGCAGUUAUUACAGGCCAAAUGUCAAGUGCCGCCAUAGUCUUAUCUAGGGCAAGAUAACGCUGCUGUCAGACAGACAGAGUAACGCCUGUUUUUAUCUAGUCUGAAUAACUUAUUAAUAAUGUACGAAAAUGAAAUAUGAAAAUGUACCCACUCACUACUUACUGUAAGCCGCUCUGGAAAAGAGUGUCUGCUAAAUGACACAGAUAUCAAAUGUAGCAGAGUAGCUACGAGUGAUUGACAAAACCCACUGACGCCUGUGCAGCUAUUGCCGACACUACUGCUGUGUGUAGUCCUGCUCUUGGGCAAUAGUAUAUUGUGGUUGUAGGGGGUUAAAUGGUGAUUACCAGGGGCAUUGCCUGUGUAAAUGUAUGGUAUUAAACACAACUGAGGGCGACAUGUACAACACUGGGAGACUAACUUAACUAGAGGGACAUUUUACUGUAACUUCCUGGAGCCUUCUCUCUCGCUCUCAAACAUUAACAUUGAUUAAAUACUUUAUUUAUUUAAUAACCACAGCAACUAGCUAACUAGUUACCAUUAUUAACUAACGCUAGCUAAAUUGUGACGCCCCCUCCUCUCUAUAGUUAGUUAGCGAACAUGCAUAUGUUCUGGUACUCACGAUUACCAGCUUGUUGUUAAGAUAGUUUAGCAGAAUUAGCAUAUGGAUAGUUUACAAGACUCUCCUUACCUUGAAAUGCCUCCUCUGCCCAGUCCAAAAGGGGGUUGCUGAUGGCAGACCGAGUCAACAACAGACAAUGGUAACGCUAGCUGCUGCCUGUGCCACUCGGUAACCUCCUCCCGAACAGAGCCAGCUAGCGGUGCUAACGUCAAAGCUAGCUGACGGUAACUAGCAGCCCGUUUGUUGUGAGCGACCCAGAUCACUAUGCCGCAUAGUGUAAAACUAGCUACACUUAGAUUUGGAUUUGGUUGUUUCUGGUCGUUGUGAAAGCACGUUUCUAUGUUAUUCUGAACGAUAUAUAAAACGGUGUUUGUUUGUUUUUUUCCAAGGGGGCUGGACUCGUUGUUGCUGGGAGGAGAGAUUCGGGUCAAAGAAACGACACACCGGCCGUGACGUCACGCAGAACAGCAACUGCCUUCCCCAUAAAUAGUAU
rnacentral:lncRNA from 1 species